GACAGAGGAGCCAAGCGUUGUCCGGAUUGACUGGGCGUAAAGCGCACGCAGGCGGCCCGGCGCGCGGGGUGUGAAAGCUGGCGGCUUAACUGCCAGACGCCAUCCCAUACGGCUGGGCUCGAGCCCUGCAGAGGUCCAUGGAAUUGCCGGUGUAGUGGUGAAAUGCGUAGAGAUCGGCAGGAACACCCAGGGGGAAACCAGUGGACUGGGCAGGAGCUGACGCUCAGGUGCGAAAGCGUGGGGAGCGAACCGG
rnacentral:rRNA from 1 species